AACGCACAUUGCACCCUCUGGUAUUCCAGAGGGUAUGCCUGUUUGAGCGUCAUUUCUCUCUCAAACCCUCGGGUUUGGUAUUGAGUGAUACUCUUAGUCGAACUAGGCGUUUGCUUGAAAUAUAUUGGCACGAGUAGUGUUGAACAGUGUUGUCUGAACAUCAAUGUAUUAGGUUUAUCCAACUCGUUGAAGCGUUUAGGUAGUACCAUUCUUCAUUAGGCUUUGCCUUAUAAAACACAAACAAGUUUGACCUCAAAUCAGGUAGGAUUACCCGCUGAACUUAA
rnacentral:misc_RNA from 1 species